rnacentral:rRNA from 1 species
GACGAACGCUGGCGGCGUGCUUAACACAUGCAAGUCGAACGGAAAGGCCCUGCUUUUGUUGGGUUCUCGAGUGGCGAACGGGUGUGUAACACGUGAGUAACCUGCCCUUUACUUUGUGAUAACUUCAGGAAACUGCGGCUAAUACCGGAUAGGAGCUCCUGCUGCAUGGUGGGGGUUGGAAAGUUUCGGCGGUUGGGGAUGGACUCGCGGCUUAUCAGCUUGUUGGUGGGGUAGUUGCUUACCAAGGCUUUGACGGCUAGCCUGCCUGAGAGGGUGACCGGCGACAUUGGGACUGAGAGACGGCCCAGACUCCUACGGGAGGCAGCAGUGGGGAAUAUUGCACAAUGGGCGGAAGCCUGAUGCAGAAACGCCGCGUGCGGGAUGAAGGCCUUCGGGUUGUAAACCGCUUUCGCCUGUGACGAAGCGUGAGUGACGGUAAUGGGUAAAGAAGCACCGGCUAACUACGUG